UAACCAUUAACUCUUGGCUUCCCACCUCCAAACGCUGCCUUUCUCCGCCCUGAUGAGAGAAGCGCUUUGGGGAGACUUGCGUGGAGCAAAUUAGUCCUUGCUCAGGAUUCAGAUCCACAGAUCCAUGGUUGAGACGCGCCUCGGGGCCUGCUGGCGCCAGGAUCCCAGCGCCACCGCUGCUGCAUCCUCCGGGGGUCUGGGUGCUCAUCUGUAAAGUGGGAGGGAUUGCCCACUCCCACUUCUUAGAGUUGGUGGAGGAGGUACAGUUAUAAAUGUGGCAGGAAGGAAGAGCAAAUACUGUUUAGGAAAACCUGUGUACAGGCAAAAGCUUCCCCCGUGGAAUACAUUCCUUCCCAGAUACCAAGACUUAAUAAACCAGCAGAUCCCAGAGUUAUGAGCACAGAGAGCAAGUGGGGACCCUUAAGUGUGACAGUGACAGGGGCCUCGCCCACUUUGCCCCGGACCCAUGCUUUCUGGUCACAGGAAAACCAGUGCUGUUUAUUGACGCUGGCUGAGAACACGUCUGAGAGCGCAGAAACCCAGCCUUCAAGGUGUGUUCCGCCCUGGCACCCUGGGCACCUUACGUGGGCCACUCCUCCUCUCGGCCCUUCUAGAUGAGAGACACGGGGAAGACUCAGAGGCCCCAUGGGUGUCAGGCCUAGAGGCUCUCCCUUGGUUCCUUGGUCAGAGGCGAUCGUGGAUAGGUUAGUGUGAAAGUGAAGCAGGCACUCAGGAAGGAUCCAGAUGGGAAGGAAAACCACGCCCAGGAUAAGCACGUCCUCAGCGAGGUUGGAUGGGAUGGACUGGCUGCCGGGUGGCUGCUGGGAGCCCAGGAUAUGGUGCCACAUCACCACCCCGUGUUGGUCUCAGCUGCUGAGAGACUGAGCACUGGACGGCGGCCAGACGGGCCUCGGUGGGGAGAGACCUGUGUUGUUAAUCCACAGACUGUCUCCAGCCAUGCCGCCAUUGGCACUUCUGUCAUGGACUUUUUGUGCAGAGACUGGGAUGGCUGGACAAGGCAGCGGCCAACAUCUGCAGAAUGGGCCAUCUUCUCCACCUGGCUGUCCAGCGCAUCCUACACAACAGGAACAUCUGGGGACACAGGUUCGAUCCCUGACUGGAGAGCCAAGAUCCCACGUGCUGUGGGGCAACUAAGCCUGGACGGCGCAACUACUGAGCCUGUGCUCUGGAGCCCGCACGCCACAACUACAGAGCCCACGUGCCCCAACGAAAGAUUCUGCGUGUCACAACGAAGACCUGACACAGCCAAAUAAAUAAAUAUUUAAAAAAAUGA